AUAACAAAAACUUUUUAUUUCUUGGAACAGAUUCUGGUGACAUUGUAAGCCACUGGUGACCACCAACUGAACAAAUGAAAAGCGGAAGCUUCAGCCUUGUCAAUGUGAAUAAAUGUGUCCCGAUGCUGACUACGCAUGCAUGAGGCAGCUUAUUUAUAACGGAACCUGAGAUGCCUGUUAGUCAACGGCACAGAGCCAGUUCUACUGAUAAGGCCAGUGACAACAGAGAGCAUUGCAUCUUCUUGAAGAAGUCCCAAGAAAACAAAACAAAACCAACUCCUCGACUCACCGUUCCUGUUGUGCCCAAUGAAAGAUGAUUCAUCUGUUGUGUCAGGGGGCCCAUCAUGUUUGCUGGCUGCAUUGACAUAGGAUGGUCCAUUGUCGGCGUAAUCACAGCACCCUACAAGCACACACAAUGUCCAUCUGAAAACAGGUCCCACAGAAGGAAACUUAAAAAAAUAAACACCGUGAACUGUCUUGACA